UUUCCGUAGGUGAACCUGCGGAAGGAUCAUUAUUGUAUAACCGAGGUGCGAGGGCUGUCGCUGACCCGAAAGGUCAUGCACGCCCGAGUGCCCUCACACACAUCCAUCUCACCCCUGUGCACCACCGCGUGGGUCCCCCUUUGGCUUGUUCGGAGGGGGGCUUACGUUUUCACACAAACUUUGUAUGCAGUGUAGAAUGUAUUUUUUGUUUUUGCGAUCACGCAAUCAAUACAACUUUCAACAAUGGAUCUCUUGGCUCUC
rnacentral:misc_RNA from 1 species